UACGUAGGGUGCAAGCGUUAAUCGGAAUUACUGGGCGUAAAGGGCGCGUAGGCGGCUUUGUAAGUCACUUGUGAAAUCUCCGGGCUUAACUCGGAACGGCCAAGUGAUACUGCAAUGCUAGAGUGCAGAAGGGGCAAUCGGAAUUCUUGGUGUAGCGGUGAAAUGCGUAGAUAUCAAGAGGAACACCUGAGGUGAAGACGGGUUGCUGGGCUGACACUGACGCUGAUGCGCGAAAGCCAGGGGAGCAAACGGG
rnacentral:rRNA from 1 species